UUCGAUUUUAAACAAAAACAGAUCUGAAGUUAAGAUUACAAUAAUGUCUGUUGUCAGGAACAAAGAAACAUCUCGUUCAAAACUGAAGACUGAGCUUAACAACAUCCUUUCCGCAGCAGACUAACCAGAACUUACACAGUAAUCUAAAAGUGGCCUCGCCAACAUCCUGUGCAGCUGUACGAUGAUGCCCCAACUCCAGUCGUCAAUGCUUUGCCUAAUGAAAGCUGACCAGCGGAGCAGCAACCAUUCUGUAUCACAUACAUAAGUUUGAAGCACGCAGAUACAGGAGGAGUUGAGGAACCAGGUCAAGAAAAAGAGGGAAAUGUUUAUGUGAACCUUGCGCGGGCAUCGGGAAACAGCACAGAAGAGCACCUUCAAGGGUGCUCAGUAGCAAUCCUACCUUCCGACAAACAAGGAGGACAAGGAAAAGAAGGCAUAGCAACAUCACAUUCUGUGGCCGACAUAUUGGCUAGGCUUUGUCUCAAUUCAGAGUUGAAAAAUGUGGUGCUGGAAAAACACAGCAGGCCAGGCAGCAUCCGAGGAGCAGGAGAAUCGACGUUUCGGGCAUAAGCCCUUCUUCAGGAAUCAAUUCACUCAGCAAAUUUGAGUUUCAAAGAUCUACUUGUCUUGGGAUACCAUUUGAAUAAUUGUCUCUCCCACAACUCUCAGUGGAUCAAUUUAUCCCGCUGUAGGACGAUGUAACUUUUAAUGGCAGAUAUUUGAGAUUUUGUGGUGCCCAUUCCUAACUUGAGCGUCCAUUUGAUCUCCUGGUCAAUGGCACAAGGCAGAUGAGCCAGUGAAUUGAAUGUACUCUAGAUUUUUUUCUAAAAUUAUGGUGAGCUGCAAUUAAUUCAAGACAAGAUCAUUCUGCAGCCGGACCUUCAUUGCCCUCAAACUUCAUAACUUUCAAUCCAUAUCCAGCUCUCUUUUCAUACCUCACAUGGAAUGUACCUUCACCAUGAUCCCAAGGUGCAUAUUCCAAAUACUACCAACUCUCUGAGUAAACAAAUUCCUCCUAAUCUUGUUGACGAUCUUGAAAUUAUGACCUCUAGUUUCUGACAUACCAACUCGUGGAAAUAAAAUAUUCUUCUUUCCCCUUCCAAAUUCUUCAUAGUGUUGAAUACCUCCUAUAAGGUCCUGAUCAUAUUCUUCUCUGCUCCAAGAAGAAUAAGUCUGAUGCCACUAAUCUUUCCUUCUAUGUAAAAUUCUUCAUGCCUGCUAUCAUUCACGUAAAUCUCCAAUGAACCCUCUCCAGAGCUUGAAGAUCCUUCCUUAAAUAAAUUGCCUAGAACUGAAUGAAAAUGUGGUCUGACUAAUGAUUUGUAGAGGGUGUAGCAUCUCUUCCUUGGUUUUAUACUCAAUGCCUCUAUUUAUAACUAUAAGAAAUAUUUGAGCCAUCAUCAAAACGGUUUCCUUGUCACUUUCACAGAAUGAUACAUGAGAAGCCCCACGUCCCUCUGAUCCACCACUCCCUUCAAGUUGGAUCAUGGAACCUGCAUUGUUGUCGUGUGCUACUAUUGCAAAAUGUAAUACCUCACAUUUCUCUGCAUUGGAAUUCAUCUGCCAAGUUUCUGCCCAUUUGGCCAAAUUGUCAAUCUCCCUGUGAAAUUACUCAGCAUCUUCCUCACAAUUCACUCUUUUCCCUGGAUUAGUAUCAAUUGCAAAUUUAGAGACUAUAUCAUCUACAUCUAACUCCUGAUCAUUUAUAUAACCAAUGCAGUUAUCAAUUUGUACUUGUCAGUUUCUUCUAUGUGGAUGUAACUAUUAACCUUCA